rnacentral:rRNA from 1 species
UCGCCGAAAGACCAAGGGUUCCAGUCCAACGUUAAUCGGGGCUGGGUGAGUCGGCCCCUAAGGCGAGGCCGAAAGGCGUAGUCGAUGGGAAAAUGGUUAAUAUUCCAUUACUUCUGUGUAAUGCGAUGAGAGGACGGAGAAGGCUAAAUCAGCCUGGCGUUGGUUGUCCAGGUGAAAGGAUGUAGGCAUGUAUCUUAGGCAAAUCCGGGG